rnacentral:rRNA from 1 species
UACGUAGGGCGCAAGCGUUGUCCGGAAUUAUUGGGCGUAAAGAGCUCGUAGGCGGUCUGUCGCGUCGAAUGUGAAAACCCGGGGCUCAACUCCGGGCUUGCAUUCGAUACGGGCAGGCUAGAGUUCGGUAGGGGAGUCUGGAAUUCCUGGUGUAGCGGUGAAAUGCGCAGAUAUCAGGAGGAACACCGGUGGCGAAGGCGGGACUCUGGGCCGAUACUGACGCUGAGGAGCGAAAGCGUGGGGAGCGAACAGG